rnacentral:rRNA from 1 species
UGUAAGCGUAUACCAAAGUUGUUGCAGUUAAAAAGCUCGUAGUUGGAUUUCGGGUGGGAAUGGCCGGUCCGCCGUUUCGGUGUGCACUUGCUACGCCCACCUUGCUGCCGGGGACGUGCUCUUGAGUUCACGCUCGGGACACGGAGUCGGCGAGGUUACUUUGAGUAAAUUAGAGUGUUCAAAGCAGGCCUACGCUCUGAAUACAUUAGCAUGGAAUAACACGAUAGGACUCUGGCCUAUCUUGUUGGUCUGUAGGACCGGAGUAAUGAUUAAGAGGGACAGUCGGGGGCAUUCGUAUUUCAUUGUCAGAGGUGAAAUUCUUGGAUUUAUGAAAGACGAACUACUGCGAAAGCAUUUGCCAAGGAUGUUUUCAUUAA